rnacentral:rRNA from 1 species
GACAGAGGGUGCAAACGUUGCUCGGAAUCACUGGGCGUAAAGGGCGUGUAGGCGGGAAUGUAAGUCGGGCGUGAAAUCCCUAGGCUCAACCUAGGAACUGCACUCGAAACUGCGUUUCUUGAGUAUCGGAGAGGAAAGCGGAAUACCUGGUGUAGAGGUGAAAUUCGUAGAUAUCAGGUGGAACACCAGUGGCGAAGGCGGCUUUCUGGACCGACACUGACGCUGAUGCGCGAAAGCUAGGGGAGCAAACGGG